ACGAACGCUGGCGGCGUGCUUCACACAUGCAAGUCGAACGGAAAGGCCCUGCUUUUGUGGGGUGCUCGAGUGGCGAACGGGUGAGUAACACGUGAGUAACCUGCCCUUGACUUUGGGAUAACUUCAGGAAACUGGGGCUAAUACCGGAUAGGAGCUCCUGCUGCAUGGUGGGGGUUGGAAAGUUUCGGCGGUUGGGGAUGGACUCGCGGCUUAUCAGCUUGUUGGUGGGGUAGUGGCUUACCAAGGCUUUGACGGGUAGCCGGCCUGAGAGGGUGACCGGCCACAUUGGGACUGAGAUACGGCCCAGACUCCUACGGGAGGCAGCAGUGGGGAAUAUUGCACAAUGGGCGGAAGCCUGAUGCAGCAACGCCGUGUGCGGGAUGACGGCCUUCGGGUUGUAAACCGCUUUCGCCUGUGACGAAGCGUGAGUGACGGUAAUGGGUAAAGAAGCACCGGCUAACUACGUG
rnacentral:rRNA from 1 species